GCCUGGUGUGGUGGAGCACACCUGUAAUCCCAGCGGCUGGGGAGGCUGAGGCAGGAGGAUCUAAAGUUCAAAGCCAGCCUCAGCAAUUUAGUGAGGCCCUAAGCAACUCAGUAAGACCCUGUCUCUG
rnacentral:sRNA from 1 species